ensembl:lncRNA
UUUAAAUGAUGUAUUCAAUAUUGCCUGAUUAAGAAACAGCCUGGCAGCUAGCCUAGUAGCCAGAGACAAGAAAAAUACAAUCAUUUGCAUGUUAUUAGUUUAAUCACACUGUGUUUGUCUAUUGUUGUGACUUAGAUGAAGAUCAGAUCAAAUUUUAUGGCCGAUUUAUGCAGAAAUUGAGUUAAUUCCAAAGGGUUCACAUACUUUUUUUUGCCAGUGUAACUGAUGUGGUGUUGCAAAAGACUACUAGGUUAAACAACAUUGUUUGUUUUCAAGUCAUAUCUUACAGGUUUGCUCUGACCUCCGUUGUUUAUGCUAUUUGUGUUUUUAGGCAGUAUACGUCCUGUCCUGUUGCUCCUCCCCUUGGUUCUCUUUGUGCUAUUGGCUGCUGUGGGACUGUGGUGCUGCUACAGCCAUAAACUACACAAAAACGUUCCUCUGAAGACCUCGGUCCCACCACCCAAGACACUGUGUGUAACUUAGUCUUUCUAUUGUUUUCACAUCUUUAACUGUUUGGAUUUGUCAUAUUUUAUUCAAAGCAAAUAUGCAACAUAGACAUUGCACAGUAAACAACAUCUCAAAUUGAACUUCAAGAAUGAAAAGCACUGUGUUUGACUCCUUAGUUGUCCAGUCAGAUGUUCAGUCCCUGCUGAAGCCAAACAUCUACAAGCCAACAGUCUUGCCAAUGGUCACCUUGCCAACAGUCUUGCCAACAGCCAUGCCAACCCUACCUUCCUACUGACGAGACAUGGCUCAGACAGGCUGGUGAGGGUAUCUGUUCAUUCACCUGUUACACCACAGUACUUUGUAUGUACAGUGCGGUACAGUCAAUGCUAAAAAAAGGUUCUCUUGACAGGUAAAUAACAAAACAAUACUUGUAAAUGUUCUGACAGUAAUGCUGUGAGGGAUUGUUUGUCCUUCACAGAGUCCGUCCACACCUUGUCCCAGCCUCUCCACCAGGCACCCUGUCUUCUGUCCCACAGUUCAACCCCCUCCUUACAUAGCCCAGCAGAGACAGGCUCUAUCCCAGCCACAACCCUCUCUCCAGCCCCAGCCCCAACCCCUCUCCAGCCCCAGCCCCAACCCUCUCUCCAGCCCCAGCCCCAACCCUCUCUCCAGCCCCAACCCUCUCUCCAGCCCCAGCCCCAACCCCCUCUCCAGCACCAGCCUCAACCCUCUCUCCAGCCCCAGCCUCAACCCUUCCUCCAGCCCCAACCCUCUCUCCAGCCUCUGCCGCAGCCCAAGCCUAAACCUCCUCCCAUCCCCAGCCACCUAGCCCAGCAGAAAGGACCCCUACAGGCCCUUCCUCCAGCCAUCAAGCCCCCCAGCCGCCAGUCCUCCCCCUCAACACCUCACACACACAGACCUGACCCUCCCAACAGACCCCCACCCCCCUGCCCGCUCUCCAAACCCCAAAUAUCAUCAGAUGUGUUACAGAGAGGAAAGUCCAAUCUGGCGCCACCUGGUGGACAGAAGAAACCCAGCAGAUCCCAAAACAUGAUCUCAGGGAGGAGAUGAGGAUCAACACUGGAACCCUGAGCUCAGUGAGAUUACUGGACAUCUAACUGGGUAUCUCUUCUCUCUCUGUGAGCUGGAUGUUUUUCCACCUGUGUCCAAAGAAGACCAUCAGCCUUUAUGAAGAACAUGACACUGUGGGAAAGGAGAGAGGAGGGCCACAGCUGGACACACAGGGUCUCAGUCCAAAAUGGCAACCUAAAAGUACUACACUAUAUAGGGAAUAUGGCUCCAUUUCAGACCUGUCCAGGGAAGCCUCCUCUGUUGGCCCAUCUCAGUGUUUUUAUUUCAUUCCAACAACAAAGACAAAGGAGUUGCCUGAUUAAGAAAUAUCUCUGGCUACUAGGCUAGAUGCCAGGCUAUGUCUUGCCUUACCUCUUGAAACCAGGUCUCCUGUAUACUUGUAAUAUUUAAGACUGGACUUUAUCGACUCAUUUAGUUCUUGUGGAUGCUACCGUAUACCAUGGGUUAACAGUAUCAUGUAUUGAUAUGCUGUUUCAGGUGUAUUUAUUUGCAAAGCUUCAGAGCAAAGAAACUGGUGUUUAAAGUCAAUGUACUGUAUAUGGUUUCUACAGGAGCACGAGUCUGAAGCGAACGUCUUAUAUUACGACAACGCCACGCACAGAAUGAUGCUUAAUGCUUCUAGUAUGUGAAUAAACGAUAGGCUGGCCUAAGACGAGGGACAUCUCAAAUGUUGCAGUAGCUAUUAGAAAAGUAUAUAUUGUUUUGGUAAGACUUUGUGUUUUUUUAAAAAUGUUUUGUAUAUUGUACUGUUCUUGUUGUGUUGGGUGCUAAAUUCAGGUCUUCUGACUGACUGAAUGAAUGUAUAUUUGUACACCUUGAAGGUUAAUUGUUCCUGUUUAACUACCUACAAGUAUGUUAUCUUUUGAAAUGUGAUGCAUAGGACAGCAGAAUCAACCCAGUUAUAGUCAAGCCCCUAAAAUCUAUGUAUAUCAAAUAAUCUGAUUUUCUUUAGAUUUAUUGUUGAAAUUCACCAUCUACCAUCGGACCUAUGCAAACAGUGGUGCCUUCAGUUUGAUUUUAAAUAAACUGUUUCAAAAC